ensembl:lncRNA
AUUAUCGCUAAUCCCUGAUGUCAUCCCACUAAUUAAUUUUUAUCAAUUUAAUGGUUAUGAAAUUAUAUCUCAUGGAGAUUUUGAUUUUUCUUUCUCUGAUUAUUCAUGAUAUUGAGAAUAUUUUUAUAUUUUUAUCAACUGUUUACACUCCUUCCGUGAAUUGUCUGUUCAUAUCUUUUUCCCAUUUCUCUUUCAGCUUGCGUGUCUUUUUCUUCUUACUGAUUUUUAAAAUAUAGGUUGCAAAAUAUGUCCCUGUCUGUAUCACUUUUCACUUUAUUUAUGAUGUCUUUUCAUGAAAAUUGCUUUUCAUUUAAAGUGUUCAAAUUUAUCAAUCUUUUCUUUUAUGGUUUCUGCUUAUUGUAGCCUGUAAAGAAAUGCUUCUUCAAAAAAAUGCCAUAAAAGUAUUUUCUAAUUAUUCUCUAAUGUUUUCUUUUAAAAGAUUUACAGCUUCUCUUUUCAUGUUAUUUUUAAAAUUUAUUUUUGCAUAAAAUAUAAUAUGGGAAUCUGUUUUUAGCUUGUCCCUGUGCCAAGUAUCAGCUAAUAUUUUUUAAUUUUUUUUAUGGGGAGGAUUGGCCCUGAGUUAACAUCUGUUGCUAAUCUUCCUCUUUUUGCUUGAGGAAGAUUGUGGCUGAGCUAACAUCUGUGCCAAUCUUCCUCUAGUUCAUGUGGGAUGUUGCCACAACGUAGCUUGACAAGCAGUGCUAGGUCUGCACCUGGGAUCCGAACCUGCAAACCCCAGGCCACCGAAGUGGAGCAUGCAAACUUAACCGCUAUGCAACCAGGCUGGCCCAAGUAUCAAAUAAUUUAUCCUUCGCCCUAUUAUUUGCAAGUCUCCUUUCUCAUAGAAGGGCUAAAGCUCCUAUGAAAAGCUAAAGGCCUAAGCUUCUAAAUAUGCAUGGUUUUCUUUCUAGGUCUCUAUCCUUAUAGACUUAUACCAAUACCAUUCUGUCUUAUAUAACGUAAUUUUAAAUUCGAUAAGUAGUAUCGUAGGCAUCUUAAUCCCUGCAACCAGUGACUGCGUUACCUGACAUGGCAAAAGGAACUUGGCAGAUAUGAUUAAAUUAAGUCCGGUGACAUGGGGAAGAGUAUCCUGGAUUAGCCAGGUGGGUCCAAUGUAAUCCACAAAUCCUCAAAAGAGGAGAACCAUUCCCAGCUGAGAGCAGAGUGAGACGGAGACCUGACAGCAGAAGACUGGUAAGACCCAUGCAACACUGUUGGCUUAGAAGAUGGAGGAAGGAAGCCAUGAGCCAGGAAUGCCAGCAGCCUCUAGAAGCCGGAAAAGGCAAGAAAACUUCUCCUCCAGAACCUCCGGAAAUGAAUACUGCUGUGCUGACACCAUGGUUUAAGCCUGGUGUGAUCUGUGAAGGUUCCAAUCUACAAAAAUACUUGAACGGAUACAUUGGCUCGUCCUGAGUUUCGAGCCUGCUGACCUUUGGACUGCAACUACAGCAUCAGCUCUUCUGGGUCUCAAGCCUUUGGACUCAGACUGGAACUCAACCAUCAGCUCUCCUGGGUCUCCAGCUUGCCACUCACCCUGCGGAUCUUGGGAUUUGCCCCAGCCAUAAUUGUGGAACCAGUUACUUAAUAUAUAUAUAAAUGUAUAUACACACACAUACACACAUCCUAUUGGUUCUAUUUCUCUGGGGAACCUUAACUAAUACACAUGGCAUAUUUCUCUAAUUAUUUGAGUCAUCUUUUCCAAUUUUUAUCCAUGUAAGUCUUUCUUUCACAUCUUUUACUAGAUUUUUCUUGAGUAUUAUACAGGUUUUAUUGGUAUCACAAAUGGUACCUUUUUUAUAACUUCAUUAUAUAGUUUGAUGCUUGAGUAUAGAUGUUACACAAAUGAAUUUUGGAUAUUGUCUUGUUUCCAGCAAUAUACCUGAACUCUGCUACUCUACUAUUUCUAAUACUUCUAAUACACCUCCCAUCUUUUUGUCACCUUCCCACAAGUCAUUAGCUGGCCUUUAUCAGAAUAUUAAGUAUAUUUCUAUUUUUGGCUAUUAGUAUUAAAGACAGCUUUUGUUUCCUACUCCUUGGUCUUAACAUAAAAUUCAGAUUAACUGAGUGUUUCAUAGACAAAUUCCAGUUACCUAACCUUAUCUGAACAGUCAUUUUAGAGUGGGACUGGGGACUCUCCAUUUUUACCGAAUACGCACAGGUGAUUCUGCUGUAGGUGUUCUCUAAGAUCACACUUAGCGAAAUCCUGCUUUCACUCAUCUUUUGCUGUUCUCAACACUAUCUCCAAUGUUACCAGUUUCAAAACCUCUUCUUUUCUUCUUAAACUCCAAUAUCUACUAUUUACAGAUGAUCUUGCAUAUUACUUUACAGAGAACAAGGUAACUAAGGUAAAUUUCUUCAGUUUCCAUCUUUUGACAACCACUAAGAAUGUCUCUAUUGUUUUUCUUUCCUGAAUUUAUCUUUACAACCCUUCUAUUUAUAAUUAGGGGAAAGAGAACUGCCUAUCCAAGCCUGACAGUGUGCCCUGUGCCCUGAUGCCAUCUGCAAUUCCGUCACUCAGAACACAACUCCUUCUACAAUUCCCAUCUUUCUCCCGCUCUCUCUCCCUUCCUCCCUCCCUCCCUUUUUCUCUCUCCCUUUCUCCUUCUCUCUCCCUCUGCCCUAAUAAUUCCCUACCUUUCUUGUUGUCAGUGUCGUUAUUAUUAUUGAUAUGGAGAUUUAUCUCUCUUACAAACUGAUAAGCUUGUUGAGGACAGGGCCCACAUAUUAAUCUUUUUAUACCUACAAAGCGCCCAGUUCAAUCCUUCAACAAAUACUUGUUGAAUAAACAAUUAGUUGUUCCUUUCCCUAAAACAAAACAAAAUUGAAUUGGUUCCUUUGUCCUUAUGAAUGUUCCUCAACUGAGUGUUUUUCUGAAUCAUGCAGGUCACAAUCCCCAUCCUGGAUUAAGGAAUUAAAAUGGCAGCUGGACAGCUCUUCAGAAACCACCAACAUUUAGCGAAUGUAACGAACUUUUCUAUCCAUGAUGGCAAUUAAAUCUGUAAAAUAUAUAGAAAUAACUUUCUCAAAAAUAUGAUAUUUAUAUGUAAGAAACUACAUCUACUGAAACAUAAAAGAAACUUGGAAUAAUUGGAAAGACAUACAUAUCACUCUGGGAACUGAAGGAUGAAUAUCAUAAUAGUGUCACUGCUUCCAAAACUACUUUAUACUUUUUCAAGCCAUUAAAAACCCAAUCCAGAAAGUGACAACACUUUUCAUUACUUGGCCAAGGGGAGGGGACAGUUUCAGAAGCUUCCAUGUGGUGUUUGUCACUGUGCUAUCCCUUAUCCCACAGGUCAACAAAUCCGUGAGAAGGUUCUGCCAAUU